rnacentral:lncRNA from 1 species
AUUAGUUUCCAACGGAAAUUUUUGGCAAAUAAUAUUCCGUCGAAAAUGUUUAUGUUAUUGACGGAAUUUUCCGACAAAAAGCAUUCCUUUGGAAAACCUUUGUUAUCAAUGGAUUGUGGCCCAUGGAUUUGGGUUUGUCGAAAAUAAUUCCCAAGAUAAGGAAGCAACCCUAAUGCCGUCCCUUUUUUCACUUCACAUUGACUCUGAUCUCACUCACUCUUCAACGCCCCGAGUCCGCAUCCCCCCGCUGUUGCAGCCACCAGGUCGUUGUCGCACACGCCGCACCACCUUCGCGUUAGCUGCUGCAAAGUUGCUUUCGUGGCUGUCGUCACCUGUUAGUUCCCCUUUUUGUUUGAUUUUGAAAUUCGUUUGGUCUCUCUCAAAUACUGAGUUCUAUUAUUCCAACAGAUAUAGAAAAUACAGGCAUUGUUUUCCACGGAUACACUUCAGAUCAAAGGAGGACAGCCUCCCUUCCCGCGACUGGUAUGAUAUUUCAUUCCCUCUCUUUAUAUUAUUCACACAAAGGUAAUUUUGUUAAUUUGUGUAGUGUAUUCAUGAUUUGCGGCAUCUUAUUUCGAAAAUUUGAUAACAACCGUGUGUAAGAUUGAUUAAUUGCUUAUCUAGAAAUAGCUAUUCAUCUUAACCAUGUUUUGUGUUCCUAAAUUUCUUUGAAUCUGGUUAUUUUGGGAAUAUAGUUAACUACUGAAGAGAAAACCAUAGGUCUGAUACUCAUCUUCACAUUCUGGGUUGAAUCAUUUAGUUUUUUUUUUUACCAAUGAAAGAGUAAUCUGUUUCAAAAGAUUACAAUAGUAUAGAACAUGGUAACUUCAAAUGAGUAAUGGGUUAGGGAUUUUAGAUUGGUAUGCAGGGGCUACAUGUGCAAGUUUAUAAAAGUUACCAUGUUGUUCUGUAAUGCAGUAAUGAGUUUAUCAAUAUUUUCAACCAUUAAGUGUAAUUAAGUUUAAUGCAUACCCUGUUUUUGCAAUCGCUUGAACACAACUUCAAAAUGUAGAAGGACACGAAAUAUCCUUGUACUCCAAUAAUUAGUGUAUUUUUCCUUUUUCAAAAAAAAAUCUAUCGGUAUUCUUUUCAGGUAAUGUAAGAAUAAUACGUAGUAGUUGUCCUCAAAUCAAGUUUAUCUAUCUAAAUCUAUGUGGACUAUAUACAUGGUUAGUCAACAUCAAUGAACUUCUAGCAGAGCUUUAUGGACUUUUGAUUUUGGACAUGCUACUUGGACUCUUGUUAUUGGUAUUAUUACUGAACUGUUUUCGGUUUAUAUAUUUGUAGAACUAUAUAUUAGAAUAUUGCAUGAAAUUUUAUACCACUUUCAGAGACGACUAGCUAACUAGCUAUAGAUAUAUGUGGAUUGCAUAUUUUAGGAAAAUGUAGACAAAGUUUGAGUAAAUUUGCUUCUCUUCCAAUAAACAUGAUAUGGAUGUUCCCCAUGCAUGGGGACCAGCUUGAGGUCAACAAAUUUUGCAUGUCAAUGAGCAAAUCACUAGUUAAGCAUAUAAUUUUAAUGUAUCAGACUAGCCUACAGAUUCCUAAGUGAUUGGAAGAAAAUGAAUUUUCAGCACUGUGCUUUUUGUUAGUGGAGCUAUAUAUCAUAAUGCAUACUAUAUUAAUUAAUACAUGGUAAAUACAUGCUAAAGUUUUCAUGGAGCCUGCAACAAUAUCUAUAUAUGAUUUUUAUAUGAUAGGUGAAGUUGCAGGUUGGAUAUGUAGAAGCUGUUGUUUAUAUUUGUUUUUUCAGUUUGUUACUUCCAUCUUGUUCUUGUUCUUUGGGUUGACAAAUUAAACUUGCAAACUUUGGACCUCCUUUUUAAUUUCUUUGCAUAAGGUAUUUACUCGUGCUAAAGCAGAAAGUUGAUUCUUGAAUGAAUAAGUUUCCUUUGAUGAUCUUAGUAAAUGUAUUGGGAGAAAAGAAAAAUGGAAUAAAAGUAGGCUAAAGAAUAUAUACCAAUGAUUUCUUAAUUUUAUUCCAAUGAUUGAGCUAGCUAGAAAAUGGGGAGCAUUGAUCAUGGUACAUGAGUUGUUUGAUGUGUUGGUAUUGUGUUUAUAGUAAUUGUGGCCUUUUGGGGGUAAAACCAUGUCUUCUUUUAUUCUUGUAAAUUAAAGAAGAAGAAAAAAUCUGAUUAUUGUCCAUUUCAUUUUGUCCCUGUCGAAAGAGUUAGAAGAAUAGGUAACAUAAGUGGCAAAUGGAUAAGAAAAACCUCUUUUUUGUCGGUUUAAUUCUACUCUGAUUUUGGUCUUCUCACCAAUUUGGAAAUCACAAAUUUCAGUCACACUAAAUGAAGGUCCCCAAUUUAUUUUCCAUUGAAAUUUCUUCCUUUAGUCUUCCUCUAAAAAGUCAGUGGCGGCUUGCAAACGUGUUUGACAAAGAUGUUGGCAUAUAAGGUAAAAGUUGAUGAAGUAUUGAAGGUGAGAUUUCAAUCUCCAGCCCUAUACACCAACCAUGGUACUAAAAACACCAUUAUGCCAAUAUAUUAAUUUGAAAUGUAAAUGAAAUUUAUACAAUAUAUUAGUCUUAUUAGCCUUUUUUUAGAGAAUGUUGUACCAUUUUAUAGAGAAAAAAAAGAUAUAUAAAAUUUAUAAAUUCAUUACUGUUAAAACUCCA